GAUGAACGCUGGCGGCGUGCCUAAUACAUGCAAGUCGAGCGGACAGACGAGGAGCUUGCUCCUUUGACGUUAGCGGCGGACGGGUGAGUAACACGUGGAUAACCUACCUAUAAGACUGGGAUAACUUCGGGAAACCGGAGCUAAUACCGGAUAACAUGUUGAACCGCAUGGUUCAACAGUGAAAGACGGUCUUGCUGUCACUUAUAGAUGGAUCCGCGCCGCAUUAGCUAGUUGGUAAGGUGACGGCCUACCAAGGCAACGAUGCGUAGCCGACCUGAGAGGGUGAUCGGCCACACUGGAACUGAGACACGGUCCAGACUCCUACGGGAGGCAGCAGUAGGGAAUCUUCCGCAAUGGGCGAAAGCCUGACGGAGCAACGCCGCGUGAGUGAAGAAGGUCUUCGGAUCGUAAAACUCUGUUAUUAGGGAAGAACAAAUGUGUAAGUAACUAUGCACGUCUUGACGGUACCUAAUCAGAAAGCCACGGCUAACUACGUG
rnacentral:rRNA from 1 species